CGAUAACGAACGAGACCUUGACCUGCUAAAUAGCCCAACUCACUUUUGUGGGUUGCUGGCUUCUUAGAGGGACUUUUGGCUCAAGCCAAUGGAAGUACGAGGCAAAAACAGGUCUGUGAUGCCCUUAGAUGUUCUGGGCCGCACGCGCGCUACACUGACAGGGCCAGCGAGUACAUCACCUUGGCCGAAAGGUCUGGGUAAUCUUGUUAAACCCUGUCGUGCUGGGGAUAGAGCAUUGCAAUUAUCGCUCUUCAACGAGGAAUGCCUAGUAAGCGCAAGUCAUCAGCUUGCGUUGAUUACGUCCCUGCCCUUUGUACACACCGCCCGUCGCUACUACCGAUUGAAUGGCU
rnacentral:rRNA from 1 species